rnacentral:rRNA from 1 species
AUUGAACGCUGGCGGCAGGCCUAACACAUGCAAGUCGAACGAGUGGCGGACGGGCGAGUAAUGUCUGGGAAACUGCCUGAUGGAGGGGGAUAACUACUGGAAAAGGUAGCUAAUACCGCAUACCAUCGGAUGUGCCCAGAUUGGAUGAGCUAGUAGGUGGGGUAACGGCUCACCUAGGCGACGAUCCCUAGCUGGUCUGAGAGGAUGACCAGCCACACUGGGAGUGAGAGACGGUCCAGACUCCGACGGGAGGCAGCAGUGGGGAAUAUUGCACAAUGGGCGAAAGUCUGAUGCAGCCAUGCCGCGUGUAUGAAGAAGGCUUUCGGGUCGUAAAGGACUGUCAGCGGGGAGGCGUUACCCGCAGAAGAAGCACCGGCUAACUCCGUGCCAGCAGCCGCGGUAAUAC